rnacentral:rRNA from 1 species
UCGAGGGGCAGCGGGGUUGUAGCAAUACAACUGCCGGCGACCGGCGCACGGGUGAGUAACACGUAUGUAACCUGCCCUCUGCAGGGGGAUAAGCGGAAGAAAUUCCGUCUAAUACCGCAUAAUACAAUUUGGAGACAUCUCCGGGUUGUCAAAGGAGUGAUCCGGCAGAGGAUGGACAUGCGGCGCAUUAGCUAGUCGGCGGGGUAACGGCCCACCGAGGCUACGAUGCGUAGGGGUUCUGAGAGGAAGGUCCCCCACACUGGUACUGAGACACGGACCAGACUCCUACGGGAGGCAGCAGUGAGGAAUAUUGGUCAAUGGGCGGAAGCCUGAACCAGCCAAGUCGCGUGAGGGAAGACGGUCCUAUGGAUUGUAAACCUCUUUUGCAGGGGAGCAAGGCGCGGUACGUGUACCGCGAAGGAGAGUACCCUGAGAAAAAGCAUCGGCUAACUCCGUGCCAGCAGCCGCGGUAAUACGGAGGAUGCGAGCGUUAUCCGGAUUUAUUGGGUUUAAAGGGUGCGCAGGCGGACUGUUAAGUCAGCGGUAAAAUGUCGGUGCUCAACACCGGCCGGCCGUUGAAACUGGCAGCCUUGAGUGAGCGAGAAGUCUCCCCCCUGCGUGGUGUAGCGGUGAAAU